rnacentral:rRNA from 1 species
UUCCCUGACCCCUUGAGGGUCCUAAAGGGUUGUUCGAGACUAGAACGUUGAUAGGCAGGGUGUGUAAGUGCUGUGAGGCAUUGAGCUAACCUGUACUAAUUGCCCGUGAGGCUUAACCAUACAACACCCAAAGGGUUUUG